GUGCUUGCUUCGGCAGCACAUAUACUAAAACUGGAACGAUACAGAGAAGAUUAGCAUGGCUCCUGCCCAAGGAUGACCCGAAAAUUCGUGAAGCAUUCCAUAUUUUU